AGCAGCCGCGGUAAUUCCAGCUCCAAUAGCGUAUAUUAAAGUUGUUGCAGUUAAAAAGCUCGUAGUUGAAUUUCGGGAUUGACACAUCGGUCGUGCCUUAAGGGGUAUGAACCGGUGUAGUCAAUUUCUCACCUUCUGGAGAACCGCGAUGCCCUUAAUUGGGUGUCGCGGGGAACCAGGACCUUUACUUUGAAAAAAUUAGAGUGUUUAAAGCAGGCAUUUUGCUUGAAUACAUUAGCAUGGAAUAAUAAAAUAGGACGGCAUGAUUCUAUUUUGUUGGUUUCUAGGAUCACCGUAAUGAUUAAUAGGGAUAGUUGGGGGCAUUAGUAUUCAAUUGUCAGAGGUGAAAUUCUUGGAUUUAUUGAAGACUAACUACUGCGAAAGCAUUUGCCAAGGAUGUUUUCAUUAAUCAAGAACGAAAGUUAGGGGAUCGAAGACGAUCAGAUACCG
rnacentral:rRNA from 1 species